rnacentral:lncRNA from 1 species
AUUCACUUUGAUCCAAUGGGUCAAAUUAUUUUGAUUGUUACAUUUGUCACCCAUAAAUAUAAAUAAUAACAUUCAAAUUUAAAAAAGUCAUUUUAGUUUAUUUAAAAAAUUGUCUGCUCUUGGUAACACGUUCUUUGUCUGCUCCUGGUAGCACGUCUUUUUUUUAUUUUUUAUUUGUCUUUUUGCAUUUUUUGUUGUUCUGGUUCUUUUAGGGUGUGCUUUUUCGUCUUUGGUACAAUCUCUGUUCUUCAGUGCUGCAUGAGUAUGGAAAAGGAAAUGGCAGAUCUGCAUUUAGAGGAUGAGGAAGAUGAGAUUAUGGAUUUACUGGUUAAUUUGGAGACAAAUAAUAAUGGAAUUGUGAUGGAGUUCCGCUGGAAUCUAGAUUUGAAGGCUCAAUC